rnacentral:rRNA from 1 species
CCUACGGGUGGCUGCAGUAGGGAAUAUUGCUCAAUGGGGGAAACCCUGAAGCAGCAACGCCGCGUGGAGGAUGAAGGUUUUAGGAUUGUAAACCCCUUUUGUGAGAGAAGAUAAUGACGGUAUCUCACGAAUAAGCACCGGCUAACACCGUGCCAGCAGCCGCGGUAAUACGGAGGGUGCAAGCGUUACUCGGAAUCACUGGGCGUAACGAGUACGCAGGCGGGCUUGUAAGUCAAAUGUGAAAUCCUUGAGCGUAAAUACAGAACUGAAUUUGAAACUAUGAGUCUAGAGUGUGGGAGAGGUAGGUGGAAUUCUUGGUGUAGGGGUAAAAUCCGUAGAUAUCAAGAGGAAUACUCAGUGCGAAGGCGACCAACUGGAACAUUACUGACGCUGAUGCACGAAAGCGUGGGUAGCAAACAGGAUUAGAUACCCUUGUAGUC